rnacentral:rRNA from 1 species
GACGAACGCUGGCGGCGUGCUUAACACAUGCAAGUCGAACGGAAAGGCCCUGCUUUUGUGGGGUUCUCGAGUGGCGAACGGGUGAGUAACACGUGAGUAACCUGCCCUUGACUUUGGGAUAACUUCAGGAAACUGGGGCUAAUACCGGAUAGGAGCUCCUGCUGCAUGGUGGGGGUUGGAAAGUUUCGGCGGUUGGGGAUGGACUCGCGGCUGAUCAGCUUGUUGGUGGGGUAGUGGCUGACCAAGGCUUUGACGGGUAGCCGGCAUGAGAGGGUGGCCGGCCACAUUGGGACUGAGAUAGGGCCCAGACUGCUACGGGAGACAGCAGUGGGGAGUCUUGCACAAUGGGCGGGAGCCUGAGGCAGCGACGCCGCGUGCGGGAUGACGGCCGUCGGGUUGUAAAACGCUUUAGCCUGUGACGAAGCGUGAGUGACGGUAAUGGGUAAAGAAGCACCGGCUAACUACGUG